AUUGAACGCUGGCGGCAGGCCUAACACAUGCAAGUCGAACGAGUGGCGGACGGGUGAGUAAUGUCUGGGAAACUGCCUGAUGGAGGGGGAUAACUACUGGAAACGGUAGCUAAUACCGCAUACCCUAGGAUGUGCCCAGCGGGGAUUAGCUAGUUGGUGGGGUAAAGGCUCACCUAGGCGACGAUCCCUAGCUGGUCGGAGAGGAUGACCAGCAACACGGGAACGGAGACACGGUACAGACGCCUACGGGAGGCAGCAGUGGGGAAUAUUGCACAAUGGGGGCAAGCCUGAUGCAGCCAUGCCGCGUGUAUGAAGAAGGACUUCGGGUUGUAAAGUACUUUCAGCGGGGAGGCGUUACCCGCAGAAGAAGCACCGGCUAACUCCGUGCCAGCCGCCGCGGUAAUAC
rnacentral:rRNA from 1 species